AUGCACGCUGGCGGCGCGCCUCACACAUGCAAGUCGAACGAUUAAAGCACCUUCGGGUGUGUAUAAAGUGGCGAACGGCUGAGUAACACGUGGGCAACCUGCCCCUUUCAUUGGGAUAGCCACGGGAAACCGUGGAUAAUACCGAAUACUUCGAGACUUCCGCAUGGAAGACUCGAGAAAGCUCCGGCGGAGAGGGAUGGGCCCGCGGCCUGUUAGCUUGUUGGCGGGGUAACGGCCUACCAAGGCAAUGAUGGGUAGCUGGGUUGAGAGACCGACCAGCCAGAUUGGGACUGAGACACGGCCCAGACUCCUACGGGAGGCAGCAGUGGGGAAUCUUGCACAAUGGGCGAAAGCCUGAUGCAGCGACGCCGCGUGCGGGAUGAAGGCCUUCGGGUUGUAAACCGCUUUCAGCAGGGACGAGGCGAAAGUGACGGUACCUGCAGAAGAAGCCCCGGCUAACUACGUG
rnacentral:rRNA from 1 species